AACGUAGGAUCCGAGCGUUAUCCGAAUUCACUGGGCGUAAAGCGCGUGCAGGCGGUUCGGUAAGUUGGAUGUAAAAACUCCCGGCUCAACUGGGAGGGGACGUUCAAUACUGUCGGACUAGAGGACGGCAGAGGAAGGUGGAAUUCCCGGUGUAGUGGUGAAAUGCGUAGAUAUCGGGAGGAACACCAGUGGCGAAGGCGGCCUUCUGGGCCGUACCUGACGCUCAGACGCGAAAGCUAGGGGAGCAAACGGG
rnacentral:rRNA from 1 species